rnacentral:rRNA from 1 species
ACGAACGCUGGCGGCGUGCUUCACACCUGCAAGUCGAACGGAAAGGCCUGCUUUCCCUUGUGGAUUGCGGGUACUCGAGUGGCGAACGGGUGAGUAACACGUGAGUGAUCUGCCCCCAACUUGGGUAUAAGCCUGGGAAACUGGGUCUAAUUCCCGAUAGGACUGCCGGGUUGUGCCUGUGGUGGAAAACGAUUUUCUAGUGGUUGGGGAUGAGCUCGCGGCCUAUCAGCUUGUUGGUGGGGUAAUGGCCUACCAAGGCGGCGACGGGUAGCCGGCCUGAGAGGGUGGACGGCCGAAUUGGAACUGGGAUACGGCCCAGACGCCUACGGGAGGCAGCAGUGGGGAGUAAUGGACAAUGGGCGGAAGCCUGAUGCAGCGACGCCGCGUGGGGGAUGACGGCCUUCGGGUUGUAAACUCCUUUCGACAGCGAGGAAGCCACCUGGUUGGAAGGGUGGUGACGGUAGUGGUAGAAGAAGCACCGGCUAACUACGUG